AAACCUCAACCUCCUUGGUUUCUUCUUGAGACCAAAGCAGGCUUGGACUUUGGAGGCCUCUGCUGGCCACCCUCUUUUCAGGAGGCCAGCUCCUCUUAAACAAAUUAGCAGGGUCCUCUUUGCCGAUCCUUGACGUGUGAUAAGAUGUUUCCAUGUCUUGGUUUCUGGCUCUGUCACUCUUGGGACCUGCUUCUAACUGUCAGGACCUUGCGUCGAGACAACGCUCGAGCAUGUCUUCCCUUUCUCGGGAAGCUCCCCUCGACCUCACAAAC
rnacentral:misc_RNA from 1 species